UGCGCAGGUGGUCGGGUAAGUCUGAUGUGAAAUCCCGCAGCUCAACUGCGGAAUGGCAUUGGAUACUAUUCGGCUAGAGGGUUGGAGGGGGGACGUGGAAUUCUCGGUGUAGCAGUGAAAUGCGUAGAUAUCGAGAGGAACACCAGUGGCGAAGGCGAGUCCCUGGACAACUCCUGACGCUGAGGCACGAAAGCUAGGGGAGCAAACA
rnacentral:rRNA from 1 species